rnacentral:rRNA from 1 species
AUUGAACGCUGGUGGCAGGCCUAACACAUGCAAGUCGAGCGAGCGGCGGACGGGUGAGUAAUGUAUGGGGAACUGCCUGAUGGAGGGGGAUAACUACUGGAAACGGUGGCUAAUACCGCAUACUAUCGGAUGUACCCAUAUGGGAUUAGCUAGUAGGUGGGGUAAAGGCUCACCUAGGCGACGAUCCCUAGCUGGUCUGAGAGGAUGACCAGCCACACUGGGACUGAGACACGGCCCAGACUCCUACGGGAGGCAGCAGUGGGGAAUAUUGCACAAUGGGCGCAAGCCUGAUGCAGCCAUGCCGCGUGUAUGAAGAAGGCCUUCGGGUUGUAAAGUACUUUCAGCGGGGAGGCGUUACCCGCAGAAGAAGCACCGGCUAACUCCGUGCCAGCAGCCGCGGUAAUAC